rnacentral:rRNA from 1 species
CCUACGGGAGGCAGCAGUGAGGAAUCUUGCACAAUGGGGGCAACCCUGAUGCAGCGACGCCGCGUGAGUGACGAAGGCCUUCGGGUCGUAAAGCUCUUUUCUGCGUGACGAGACAGGACGGUAGCGCAGGAACAAGUCUCGGCUAACUACGUGCCAGCAGCCGCGGUAAAACGUAGGAGACAAACGUUAUCCGGAGUUACUGGGCGUAAAGGGCGUGUAGGCGGCGCUUUAAGUUCGGCGUGAAAGCCUCCGGCUAAACCGGGGGAGGUCGUCGGAAACUGGAGUGCUGGAGGGUGAUAGAGGCGGGUGGAAUUCCGGGUGUAGUGGUGAAAUGCGUAGAGAUCCGGAGGAACACCAGUGGCGAAGGCGACCCGCUGGAUCACACCUGACGCUGAAACGCGACAGCAUGGGGAGCGAACGGGAUUAGAUACCCUGGUAGU